UACGAAGGGUGCUAGCGUUGUUCGGAAUUACUGGGCGUAAAGCGCGCGUAGGCGGCUACUCAAGUCAGGGGUGAAAUCCUGGGGCUUAACCCCAGAAUUGCCUUUGAAACUGUGUUGCUAGAGUGUCGGAGGGGAUAGCGGAAUUGCUAAUGUAGAGGUGAAAUUCGUAGAUAUUAGCAGGAACACCGGUGGCGAAGGCGGCUAUCUGGACGACAACUGACGCUGAGGCGCGAAAGCGUGGGGAUCAAACAGG
rnacentral:rRNA from 1 species